rnacentral:misc_RNA from 1 species
GCCAGCGAAGUAUUUCACACGCCAAAAUUAAAUCUUACAAAAUUGUACUCUGACAAAGCGUUGUUUUCUCAGUAAUUAAUUACAAUGUUGCCUUAACCUCGACGAUGUUUGGUGCCCUGCCUUGCCCUACGCUACAUUACAUUUUCCUUUCCUUCUCUCUCUCUUGCAAAUCUCAAGUCUCACCUACCCAUGCGCGCACAUUCACUGAAGCCUCUAUAAAAAGGGCAAUAAGAUACACGCAAAGCUAGAGCAUAGGUCAUUGGGCAAAAAUAUGGAGUCGGUAGCAAGGCCAGCUGAGAACAUUGGCGGUCGACCAAAUAGUGAGCACGCAAAGGAUCGGUGUGGCUACUUUCAGAUGCCUUUGCACUACCCUAGAUACACCCAUGCCGAGUACGACACCAUGCCAGAAUGGAAGCUUGAUUGCUUGCUAAAAGAGUACGGCCUACCCAUCACCGGAAAUGUUGAAUACAAGAGGAAGUUUGCCAUGGGAGCUUUUCUUUGGCCUAACUAGAGACUUUAAUUCUAUUCUGGUCAUUGAUCAUUAUGCUUCUUCCUCUUCUUCUCAGGUGUUUGAGUGUUAUGCUGUUUGAGAUGAAAUGAAAUGCUUGGAUAUCCAUUUUGAAGGGAAGUGCAUGUAUGUAACGUAGCAAUUAAGAAAUGUGUGCUACUGAUAGUGUGUUUAAUAGCUUCUUGUGUUAUUUGCUUUUCUUUUUAAGUGUGAUCAAUUAAUGGGAUUUUCACUUGUUGCCUCCUAAUGUGCUUGGUCAUGAUUCCUUUUACUGCUUGCUUUUCAUUGUUAUACAUCAAUUCAUUAACAUUCCUUUGUAUAAUGUAUGCUUGAUGGACCACCUAAUGAAAUUGAAAAGAAAAUAAAAGCAUAUGGGUGAGU